UGCCUUGUCUCUCUUUUUUUUCGUCGUUGUCUUUCUUGUGGUCUGCUCUUGCUGUCCUUUCAUGGCAUCCUCUAUCUCCCAUGAUCCUUCUUCUUCCUUCACGUCUCUCCUUAAUCUCCAAUACCAACAAUCGAUCUUCGGUUACAAGGACAAAGCAAGGGACUUUGAGAAAACCCAGUUGAGGAUUCCCGCUUCUUUCAGAAGAAAAAUUGUCAACUUGCAAAUGAUGGCGUCAGGAAAGACACCUGGGCUGACUCAGGAAGCUAAUGACCGCACUUAUGAGGCUAAAAUUGAUAGAGAUAAUAAUAACACUGAUGUGUUUGACGACAUGAAACAACGGUUCCUCGCCUUCAAGAAGCAUAAGUUGCGUUCUUCAAAUACAAGGAGGAACCAGUGAAUCUCUGAUGCUACUGCUAAGCUGCUGGUUUGCAAGUUAAUGAAUUAUGUUCAUCAAACACCUCAAGGCUGGCAACUCCUCUCCAUCAAGUCGUUGUGUCUCUCUGCUGGAAGUAAACCUCGAGAUUCUUCUUCCAGGAAACUUGGGUCGUAUCUGAUCCAAUCUCAAUUCCAGUGUGCUGGAAACUCUAGUGCUCUUUUCUUGACUGCUGCCGCUCAGAAUUUACUCUUUUCUUGGUUUAAGGCAGCUAGUCAUUUUUGUUUAAAUGUUAUGAAAUCCAAUAAUUUAUAAAUUUUGUAACAUUUAAAUUUGAUAAUUGAACUUCUAAAUUCAAAGGGGUU